AUAAGAAAAAAACAAAACACUACUAUUAUAACAGAAAAAAGAGAAAGAGAAAGAGAGAGCUAGAAACGCGGCAUGGCGUCGUCGAAGAUUGUCACGACGAAUACGGAUCUGCCACGCGAUUCUUCUUCUUCAUCAUCGUCUUCUUCUUCUUCUUCUUCUUCUGCUGCUGCUGCUUCUUCUAAUUAUUAUUCCCUUCUUCACAAUCAAAAUCUGCAUUAUUAUUCAAACUCGUCCAUGGUAAUGGACGAUCUUCUAAACUCCAUCUACACCGCCACAACAACCACCACCUCUCACCCCUCAAAUCCUUCUUCAUCCCCUCCUCCUCCGCCCAAAACCGUCGAUGAUGUCUGGAAAGACAUGAUCCUAACCCACUCUCACAGAGACGCAACUCACCAUAAUCACCACCCGUUCGAGGAAAUGACCCUUGAGGCUUUCCUCUCAAAAAACGCUGCCGUCACUGAUGACGACGUCACCGCUGUUGCUCCUCUUCAUAAUCAUCAUCCUGUUCCUCAUCAGUUCCCGCAGGUGCCCGCCGUUGAAGGCUCAUCCUCCUCCGCGGCUGAGCCUUUUGCCAAUGGGAUUGAUGCUGCGGUGGCAAGUGGAGUUCCAGCACCCUCGUCAUCAUCAGGAGGAGGCGGCGGUGGUGGAGGAGGAGGGGCAGCUGCGGUGGCAAAGGGAAAGAGAAGGGCGGUGGAGGAACCAGUGGACAAGGCCACUCUUCAGAAGCAGAGACGCAUGAUCAAGAAUCGUGAGUCUGCUGCUAGGUCCAGGGAACGCAAGCAGGCUUACACAACUGACCUUGAGUCUAAUGUUCAACAGCUGGAGAUAGAGAAUGCCCGGUUAUUGAGUGAAGAGAUUGAAAAAGCCAAUGGUGGAGGUCUUGACAGUGAUGUUAUUUUAGCUGUUUUAGACUUCAGUCUUAAGAUUCUAGCACAUGGUUUUGUUGGAGUAGGCAUCAAUAAUACUGUAACAUACCCAUCCAACACUUAGGAUAGAGAUUCUUCUUUUGGUUUUUUUAUUAGGCCAUCACACUAUUCAUCCUUCUUCUAUCCAAUUGUGCCUUUGGUGGCCUUUUAUUGCUAAUACAAACUUAAACUUUAUGCUUUGUAUUUAAUGUGGCUCACAUAUUGUGUUUCAACCUUUUUCUUUUUACUCACCUGGUUUUUUCUUCUGAGAAUCUUUACAUUUUUUUGCCUAAAAUCUGAUUUAUUGAUUAAGUUGGCUGACUGCAGGCUGAAAAGAAAAAGAAGAGAUUGAAGGAGCUUCUUGAGUUCGUCAUUCCAGUUGUGGAGAAGCGUAAACCAAAAAAGCUUCUAAGAACGAAUUCAGUUCAGUCAUUGUGAUCAGUUUAUGGCAUGAUGUAGAUACAAGGGGAAACUUUACAAGAGGGAGCAAAGGUUACAGGGUGUUAAUAUACCUUAGCUGGUUCCCGGAGUCACAUUGUAUACAGAAAAUAGCUGCAACAAAAUAAUUCAAGCAAUUUGAUUCAACUUCAACGUACAUUGUUGGUCCAUUGCUUGCGGAAGAUCCAUGGUGCUGGGUGGACUUUGCCAGGGUAGUCCUUGUUAGGAAAAAGUUGAAAUAAGAUUGCAUUGUUUUAUGUUAACUGAUGCAAUCUGAUUGAAUACUAUGCUUGAUUUCAUUCAUGGCAAUGGGGGAAGGGAGGGGUGGUGAGAGGAAUUAAUAAAAGGUGCAUGCUCACAUACAGGUCGCAAGGUUUACAGUUGUUACAAUGUUGCUAUUGUUGUGGUAUGGAGGCAGCCACAUGUAACUGGAGGCUAUGAUUAUUUCAUUUUUCUGUCUGCUUCUUGUCUAGUAGAGAACAGGUUCAUGAUAAA